GACGAACGCUGGCGGCGUGCCUAAUACAUGCAAGUUGAGCGAUGAAGAUUGGUGCUUGCACCAAUUUGAAGAGCAGCGAGCGGGUGAGUAACGCGUGGGGAAUCUGCCUUUGAGCGGGGGACAACAUUUGGAAACGAAUGCUAAUACCGCAUAACAACUUUAAACAUAAGUUUUAAGUUUGAAAGAUGCAAUUGCAUCACUCAAAGAUGAUCCCGCGUUGUAUUAGCUAGUUGGUGAGGUAAAGGCUCACCAAGGCGAUGAUACAUAGCCGACCUGAGAGGGUGAUCGGCCACAUUGGGACUGAGACACGGCCCAAACUCCUACGGGAGGCAGCAGUAGGGAAUCUUCGGCAAUGGACGAAAGUCUGACCGAGCAACGCCGCGUGAGUGAAGAAGGUUUUCGGAUCGUAAAACUCUGUUGGUAGAGAAGAACGUUGGUGAGAGUGGAAAGCUCAUCAAGUGACGGUAACUACCCAGAAAGGGACGGCUAACUACGUG
rnacentral:rRNA from 1 species